ACCCCGCUUAAUCGACCCACGUUUAACCGGACCAGUUUGGCUUGGUCCCAAUGUGGUCCGAUUAAGCGGG
ensembl:miRNA cin-mir-4109 cin-mir-4109